rnacentral:RNase_P_RNA from 1 species
GAAGUAAGUCGGGCGGGCGCGCUAGCAGUCCUCAGUGGCCGCUGGUGAGGAAAGUCGGAGCUCCACAGGACAGGAUGCUGGGUAACUCCCAGGGGGGGUGACCCCACAGAUAGUGCCACAGAAAACACACCGCCCAGCUUGCUGGGUAAGGUUGAAAAGGCGAGGUAAGAGCUCACCGCACCUGCGGCGACGCAGGUGGCAGGGUAAACCUCAUCCGGAGCAAGGCCAAAUAGGGGAAAAGAGGUGGUCCGCCUCGCUAAAUUCCCGGGUAGGCCGCACCGAGGCGACCGGGCAACCGCCGCCCCAGAUGAAUGCCCGCACAGCGCACUUCAGGUGCGCGGACAGAACUCGGCUUAUAGACUUACUCCUCCC